rnacentral:lncRNA from 1 species
CUAAACUUCUGAACGCUCAUGGACCUGAAAACACUCUAAAACAAACUCCAAACACAUAUAAAAGACUCAAUAAAUAACGUAUACCAUGACCUAAAUGUGGUAAAAUCCUUGGUAUAUCAACUCCCCCGGACUUAUCAUUUUGUUUGUCCACAAGCAAAACACAAAAUAAAACGGGAGGGACUCAGACAAUUUUUUAAACUAUUACCUUCACCUCUAUAAUGUUAAAAGUGGUAGUGAAUCAAUGCCAACCUCAAAAGUGUUUCAAUGUAUUACUCUCUAGCUUAGAAACCAUACCAUACAUCACACAACUCCACUAAUAGCGCCUGACGUACCCCUCUACUGACCUCAUUUCUGUAGUAUAUGUGUAGGCUAAAUCUUUGGAGUAUCGAUCAAAGUACACAUGAACUCUUAUUUAAAAAUGUAUCUGAACACACAAGCAGUCUUCUGAGAUCCCUUUACCCUCUCUUUCUCUCUUCUCUGAAUCUUUUUUAUCUUAAUCAAAUGGACAGUGAUGCUGCUACAGUCUAUCUUAUUCAUCUUAUUUUCGAUUUUUUUUUUAUUUUUUUAUUUAUUUUUGACAGAGUGUAGGCGAAUAGUAGGGUCAUAAGUAAUAUACAUAUCCCUCGCUUCCAACGAUGUGUAAUCAUUCCUUUGAAUUAGAAUAGUGGGGUUAUAGGAAAUUUUUCUACCCCUCUACAUCUCUGGAAGUCAUCUCAAUCUUUUCUUUUCUAGAUGCCAAAGAGAGGGGAGAGUGGAACCAGAAAUACACAGACUUUUAUCUUCAAGACUUGUAGAGUAAUCGGAUCCACUGUAUAUCAAACCCCAAAUUAAGCAAGUUAAGUUGAUUGAAGUUGGAAGUCAGCUUUGGCUCUCCAGACAUUCUCACCAGAUGUGGAUGUUAGUGGCAGAUGAUCUACUGUUGUGUCUCCAUCUAGUACACCUUGCAGUCAGAAAAUCUAAAAUGGUAUUAGAGAGUGGUUAGAUAAUAAGUAAAAAUUGAAAAAAUUCAUCAUUCCCUUCUUGACUCAAUAAAACUUAAUAAAAACUCAUAGAAAUAAAAUUCAAAAUAAAACACAAUAUCAGUAAUACGUCCCACAGGCUUUAACAACACUGUCUCCAGUGUUAUACAAUCCGAGAUUGUUGAAUAAAAUAAAUCAUACGGAAAAAUUUAACAAGAAAAAUCGAGUUGUACAUGCUGUAUGAUGAUGAGCAUCGGUCAACAUUGAUCAGGUAUCCCCAAUACUCGGGUAAAGUGGUGUCGAUUGAUACUUAUCAUGUGUCGGUCGAUCGAUACUGGUAUAUCAACUCUUUUGAUGAACAGUGUAUGUGAUACAGUGACGUUCGACACUGCUACAGUUCAUCAAAUUUUUUCCUGAAAUAAAUAAACGCGAAAAUUAGUAUAAAAUAAAAAUUAGAUAAAAUUAAAAGUCAUCUAAGAAUGUAUUUCCUCCCACUCAGCGCUUAUUUUCAGUCAUUAUAUUGACUUAUAGAUAUCAGAUGUGAUGUAGACGAGAACGUGAACUUGCUCCAAAAGAAGUCUCAAUAUCUACUUUUUAAGCUUCA